ACUACGCUGGCGGCGUGCCUAACACAUGCAAGUCGAACGAUUCUUUGAUUAUAGCAAUAUUAUUAAAGAGGAGUGGCGAACGGGUGAGUAACACGUAGAUAAUCUGCCUUCAGACGGGGACAACUCAGGGAAACUUGUGCUAAUACCCGAUGAGACCACAAGAAGGGAUUUUUUGUGGCCAAAGGCGGGCAGCAAUGCUCGUGCUGAAAGAUGAGUCUGCGUCCUAUCAGCUAGUUGGUGGGGUAAAUGCCUACCAAGGGCUAAGACGGGUAGCCGGCCUGAGAGGGUGAACGGCCACACUGGGACUGAUACACGGCCCAGACUCCUACGGGAGGCAGCAGUGAGGAAUUUUCCGCAAUGGGCGCAAGCCUGACGGAGCGACGCCGCGUGAGGGAUGAACCAGCUUUCGGGUUGUAAACCUCUUUUAUUAAGGAAAAAGAUCUAUAUGCUAAUAUCAUGUAGAUUUGAUGGUACUUAUUGAAUAAGCCCCGGCUAACUACGUGCCAGCAGCCGC
rnacentral:rRNA from 1 species